rnacentral:rRNA from 1 species
AUUGAACGCUGGCGGCAUGCUUUACACAUGCAAGUCGAACGGUAACAGGGAGCUUGCUCCGCUGACGAGUGGCGAACGGGUGAGUAAUGCGUCGGAACGUGCCGAGUAGUGGGGGAUAACGCAGCGAAAGUUGUGCUAAUACCGCAUACGUACUGAGGUAGAAAGUGGGGGACCUUCGGGCCUCACGCUAUUCGAGCGGCCGACGUCUGAUUAGCUAGUAGGUGAGGUAAAGGCUCACCUAGGCGACGAUCAGUAGCGGGUCUGAGAGGAUGAUCCGCCACACUAGGACUGAGACACGGCCCAGACUCCUACGGGAGGCAGCAGCGGGGAAUUUUGGACAAUGGGCGAAAGCCUGAUCCAGCCAUGCCGCGCGUCUGAAGAAGGCCUUCGUGUUGUAAAGGACUUCUGUCGGGGAGGAAAUCCCCAGCGUUAAUACCGCUGGGGGAUGACAGUACCUGAAGAAUAAGCACCGGCUAACUACGUGCCAGCCGCCGCCGUAACAC